AGCGAACGCUGGCGGCAGGCCUAACACAUGCAAGUCGAACGGACCCUUCGGGGUUAGUGGCGGACGGGUGAGUAACACGUGGGAACGUGCCUUUAGGUUCGGAAUAGCUCCUGGAAACGGGUGGUAAUGCCGAAUGUGCCCUUCGGGGGAAAGAUUUAUCGCCUUUAGAGCGGCCCGCGUCUGAUUAGCUUGUUGGUGGGGUAAUGGCCCACCAAGGCUACGAUCAGUAGCUGGUCUGAGAGGAUGACCAGCCACAUUGGGACUGAGACACGGCCCAAACUCCUACGGGAGGCAGCAGUGGGGAAUCUUGCGCAAUGGGCGAAAGCCUGACGCAGCCAUGCCGCGUGUAUGAUGAAGGUCUUAGGAUUGUAAAAUACUUUCACCGGUGAAGAUAAUGACUGUAGCCGGAGAAGAAGCCCCGGCUAACUUCGUGC
rnacentral:rRNA from 1 species